rnacentral:rRNA from 1 species
CCUACGGGAGGCUGCAGUGGGGAAUUUUGGACAAUGGGCGCAAGCCUGAUCCAGCUAUUCCGCGUGUGGGAAGACGGCCUUCGGGUUGUAAACCACUGUUGUAGAGAACGAAAAGUCUAUUGAUAAUAUCGAUAGAUGAUGACGGUACUCUAAGAAUAAGCACCGGCUAACUACGUGCCAGCAGCCGCGGUAAUACGUAGGGUGCGAGCGUUAAUCGGAAUUACUGGGCGUAAGGGGUGUGCAGGCGGUUUUGCAAGAUGGAUGUGAAAGCCCCGGGCUUAACCUGGGAAAGCCAUACAUAACUGCAAGACUAGAGUGCGUCAGAGGGGAGUGGAAUUCCAAGUGUAGCAGUGAAAUGCGUAGAUAUUUGGAAGAACACCGAUGGCGAAGGCAGCCCCCUGGGACGCAACUGACGCUCAUACACGAAAGCGUGGGUAGCAAACAGGAUUAGAUACCCUUGUAGUC